UACGUAGGUGGCAAGCGUUAUCCGGAUUUAUUGGGCGUAAAGGGAACGCAGGCGGUCUUUUAAGUUUGAUGUGAAAGCCUUCGGCUUAACCGGAGUAGUGCAUUGGAAACUGGGAGACUUGAGUGCAGAAGAGGAGAGUGGAACUCCAUGUGUAGCGGUGAAAUGCGUAGAUAUAUGGAAGAACACCAGUGGCGAAAGCGGCUCUCUGGUCUGUAACUGACGCUGAGGUUCGAAAGCGUGGGUAGCAAACAGG
rnacentral:rRNA from 1 species